rnacentral:lncRNA from 1 species
AGACUGGGUAAGAAAGAAUAAUAUAGGUGGAGAGAAGAAAAACAGCAGUGGAUGGGAAAGCAAAGUGGUUUCUAUCCUGGACAACAGGCUGAACAAAUCUCAGGGUGAAGGAAAAGAAAGAUGAGGAACACAGAGAAAAAGCUGGUGGAAAGGAGGAGCAGAAAAGAAAGAACCACAGAGGGGAUUGAUGUAACCCACGUGAAGCCAUAAUGUAUACUUUCAGUUAUUUGGUAACACAAAGUUGAAUUAUAUUCUGAAUUCUAACCAUGUCAUAUACGACUUCCAUGUCAUCCUCCACUGAUAGAAUUUGCAUGUUGGUUCAGUUCUCCCAAAGGUUCUUUGCAGGCUGCUAUUGAGAAAUGCUGGCUUGGUAUUAUUACCUACCAUGUAGUCAUUCUUCCCCUGUGGUUAGAAGAGGACAACCAGGAACAGAACAACACCUGCAGUGAAGGACUACGCUACUCAGGGAUUCAAGUUCUAGUGAUAUGUACAAAGUCUAAUACAAAUCAGCCUGGCUCUCUUUUUGCGCAAUCCACUUUGGCCACUGGUAUAAAAAGGACAACAUCUGUUUUGAAAACAAAAGAAUGUUUAGGGAACACACACUUGUUCCUAGGAUUCAGUCCCCCAUCCCAUCACACUUAUGAUGCUAAUGAGGUGCCAGCUCAUCAUUGACAACCUAAGCUAACUAAUGUGCAAAGAAACUUGCAAAAUCUGCUUCUGUUUUCAUUAUUUUGACUG